rnacentral:rRNA from 1 species
UACGGAGGAUCCGAGCGUUAUCCGGAUUUAUUGGGUUUAAAGGGUGCGCAGGCGGGGGAUUAAGUCGGCGGUGAAAUUUUGCAGCUCAACUGUAAAAGUGCCUUCGAAACUGGUUUCCUUGAGUGUAGAUGAAGUAGGCGGAAUUUGUGGUGUAGCGGUGAAAUGCAUAGAUAUCACGAGGAACUCCGAUUGCGCAGGCAGCUUACUAAACUACUACUGACGCUCAGGCACGAAGGCGUGGGGAUCAAACAGGAUUAGAUACCCCUGUA